GCUGGGGUAGCUCAGUUGGAAAGAGCGCCUGACUGUGGAUCAGGAGGUCACGGGUUCAAGUCCCGUCCCCAGUGCCA
rnacentral:tRNA from 1 species